rnacentral:rRNA from 1 species
AUGAACGCUGGCGGCGUGCCUAACACAUGCAAGUCGAACGAAGCUUGACGGAUGAUUUCUUCGGAAUGAAACCAGAUAUGACUUAGUGGCGGACGGGUGAGUAACACGUGAGCAACCUGCCUUUCAGAGGGGGAUAACGGCUGGAAACGGUCGCUAAUACCGCAUGAUGUGUUCGGAUGGCAUCAUCUGAACAUCAAAGAUUUAUCGCUGAAAGAUGGGCUCGCGUCUGACUAGAUAGCUGGUGGGGUAACGGCCUACCAAGUCUAUGAUCAGUAGCCGGGCUGAGAGGUUGAACGGCCACAUUGGGACUGAGAUACGGCCCAGACUCCUACGGGAGGCAGCAGUGGGGAAUAUUGCACAAUGGGGGAAACCCUGAUGCAGCAACGCCGCGUGAAGGAUGACGGUUUUCGGAUUGUAAACUUCUUUUCUUAGUGACGAAGACAGUGACGGUAGCUAAGGAAUAAGCAUCGGCUAACUACGUG